CCAGACUCCUACGGGAGGCAGCAGUGGGGAAUAUUGCACAAUGGGGGAAACCCUGAUGCAGCGACGCCGCGUGAGUGAAGAAGUAUUUCGGUAUGUAAAGCUCUAUCAGCAGGGAAGAAAAUGACGGUACCUGACUAAGAAGCCCCGGCUAACUACGUGCCAGCAGCCGCGGUAAUACGUAGGGGGCAAGCGUUAUCCGGAUUUACUGGGUGUAAAGGGAGCGUAGACGGCAUGGCAAGUCAGAUGUGAAAGCCCGGGGCUCAACCCCGGGACUGCAUUUGAAACUGUCAGGCUGGAGUGCAGGAGAGGCAGGCGGAAUUCCUAGUGUAGCGGUGAAAUGCGCAGAUAUUGGGAGGAACACCAGUGGCGAGGGCGGCCUGCUGGACGACAACUGACGGUGAGGCGCGAAAGCGUGGGGAGCAAACAGGAUUAGAUACCCUGGUAU
rnacentral:rRNA from 1 species